CAUAGCGUAUAUUAAAUUUGUUGCGGUUAAAAGCUCGUAACUAAUUGGAUUUAUGCCGAGGACAUCUUCUUGGAGAACAUAUCUGCACUUGACUGUGUGGUGCGGUAUCCAGGACUUUUACUUUGAGGAAAUCAGAAUGUUUCUAGCAGGCAUACGCCUUGAAUACAAUAGCAUGGAAUAUUAAGAUAGGACCUUGGUUAUAUUUUGUUGGUUUCUAGAACUGAGGUAAUGAUUAAUAGGGAUAGUUGGGGGCGAUUCGUAUUUAACUUGUCAGAGGUGGGAAUUCUUGGUAUUUAUUUAAAGAACGGACUACUGCGAAAGACAUUUGUCCAAGGAUGUUUUCUAUUGAUCAAGAACGAAAGUUAAGGGGCGUC
rnacentral:rRNA from 1 species